rnacentral:rRNA from 1 species
UCCUAUGGCCAGACCACCCUGAACAUGCCCAAUCUCCUCUGGUCUCGGAAGUUAAGCAGGAUCGGGCCUGGUUGGGACUUGGAUGGGAGAGAGGGAUCAUGCCAAGCUGUCUAGACU